GGUUCGGUACCUUAUCUUAGUCACUGUGGCUUCAAUAAAGAGACACCAUACACGGAGCAGCUUAUAAACAAUAGGAAAUUGCCCUGGAGGUGAAGUCCAAGGUCAUGGUGCCAGCAUGGUCUGGUGAGGGCCCUCUUCCCAGUCACGGCCUUCUGGCUGUGUCUUCACGUAGCAGGUGGGCCAAGGGACCUCUCUGGGGUGUCUUCUCUAAGGGCACUAAUCCCAUGGGGCUCUCCCUCCACGGCCUCGUCCCUCCCCUAGGGCCGGGCUCCUGACAGCAUCGCCUUGGGGGGCACGGUUUCAACACACAAAUCUGGGGGAGAGCACGGCACACCUCGGUUCCACUCUGGACCACCAAUGUGGAGUUUUACACGGAAGAAGAGAAAAUUAUCUCCCCCGUGAGCCACUGUCACUUUGGAUUGUCUAAUACAGUCACUUUAUGUCCCUCAGAAUAAGACAACUAACAGCUCCCAGCCUGCAGAGCGCAGGGGACCGCACGGCUGGCAAGCUCUGUCCGAGCACAUCGGUCUGAAAUAUUGGAGUGACAACUGAUCUGUCACACGGUCUGGCAGAAACAAGAUUAAGUGGCAGUUUAAGGAGAAAAAGUCAAUUUUUUUUUUUUUAAAAAAAGAGGGUUUGGAGUUUGUGGGAACACUUCCAGUCACGUGAUUUCGAGCUCACGAGCGCCCUGAGAUCCCUCAUCCCACCCUGGACGGGGAGCAGGGCCGACCCACCGGGCUCCGGCCGGGUCACAUACUCCGUGCUACAGGAGCCCCCAGAGCAGCUGCCCUCCCUCCCAGGAGCUCAGGAGUUGGGGCGCAGAGCCGUGUGGAUGGAAAGUCCUACCCCACUGGGGGGUUCCCCGCAGGGGAGUCGGUGCGGGCAGAGCCCAGGCGAGGGGCGGAGGCUGGGCGAAGCCCGGCCUGAAGGAAGAGCAGGAACCACUCCGGGCCAGGAGAGAAGCCCACAGGCCCAGGGCCGAGCGGGCGCGUGAGGAAGCAGGGGGGUCUGGUCCAGAAAGGACAAAGGGACGGCAAGGAGGAGCUGGAGCCGGCCACCCACUGCGGCCCCCCGGCCACACGCGGUCAUUCACGUGUGCGUGCAUGGACAAGGUGGAAAGCCCCACUCCUCAGCUGCACGGGCCACAGUCCCAGGGGCCAGCAGCCCCCGAGCUGGCCGCAGACGGAUGCUGACCGCCUGGGCCGUGGGAGGCAGAGGCCGUGUCAGGACGAGGGACACAGGCAGGGAGAAGAGGACCCCGCAGGGCUGACGCCGGCCCGUCUCCCCACUCCGGAGCCCGUCUCCCCACUCCGGAGCCCGUGCUCCUUCCACUGAGCCCGCCGUCUGCCUCUGACAGGAGACAGUCACACAGGAUUACUGACUGAGCGGAAGGCAUCUCUGGGCUCAGGGACAUCGACCCCGCCUGGCCCAGGAGGCCACUGCCCUGUCCGCUGUGCCCGGUGGGACGCACGUGCACAUGCUCCACCGAGGAAGGAUGGCCUGCUGUCUGAAGGAAGGGGAGCGAGUCCCUAACCCAGGGGACCCCCGUCUGGGGUCUCGGGCACCGGGCCGAGAAGGGAGAUCGAUGGACCAGGACUCCUGACGGCCGGGCUCACCUCUGGAGGGGCGUGUGUGUGCGCGUGUGUGUUUUGAAAAGGGACAAGGACCUCCAUGCCGUGUCUGAAGCAAUCAGUGUGUCUUGAAAAGGCCUCACUCGGUGGAGGUGGCGGCGAGGUCUGUGAGCGUGUUCGUGCAAAGUGUCUGUGGUCUGGGAAUCUGUCAAACGAAACUCAAUAAAACGCAUCUUCACGGUUGUUUAAAAAGCUUCCGUCCGAAUGUUUCUGGCUAUGGAAUGUAUCCUGCCGGGACCGGGCCUGCAGAAGACGGCUACGUGACCAGGGCAGACAGAGGCGGGUAGAACUCUGAAGCCUUCGAAGCAUCUCCCUGCCGGGGCCGAGCCUGCUCCAGAGGGGCCUGGUCCCCUCAGCCCCGCGGAAGGAAACACAGACACGGCUGGAAGCUCACUGUCAUUUCGUCACACCAGAGGACGUAGCAAAGCUAGUCUAGCAUCGAUACUAUUCGGCCUUGGACAUAAUUACCCUCGCUGGCUUUGUAAAGAGCAAAUAAAACCAUCCGAGUAUACGUGAGGGAAAGUCUGCGGCUACUCCAGGGAGAGGCGGGUGCGACAUGAAGGACCAGGGAAACGUGAGGGAAAAAUGAUAUGACACAACUGUGCCGUCGAUUCAGGCGCCGAAAGCCAGCACGUGCCCUGAGCAGGAAACACCCGCGUGGCGGGGGGCGGCGAGGGAGCAAAGGCGGGAAACGGGAGAGGGGUCGGGGUGGGGCUAACACUUAAAAUUCCCUUCAAUAGAUGAAACUCAGAAAAGAGGAAGGAGGCAUCUUAUCAGCAUAGCUGGACGUACGUCGAUAGGAAAACGUUCAAUAUUUUAAGUAGCGGAAAAGGACAAGGAUGAAGACACAGAAAAGCGUCACAUACGUCAAAUCUGUGUUCUGUGAGAGCAUGAAGUAAUGGACGCGGCGUGACUCAAAUUAACCCACGCACAAAAUCCGCAGCCCCGUCAGUGAACGAGCAGGGGACAGGAAGGCGACACGUGACAAACACACUAACCCCUGCCAAACGCUUUCCCUCCGUCUCGUCUAAAGCGGAAGCGAGGGCUCCUGUAUCUUCACUGUGCACGUUUUCCAUCCAAACGCUGCUUGGGCAUCAAAUAAUUUUGCUCGCUUUUAAAACUUCCGAUAAAUUGCAAAAUGAGAUUUAAUGAGAAAUUUAAUAGCAAAGCACAAAAGGCCUGGGAACCCAAACUAUUUCUUAUGGGUACAGAUCCGCCCAUAAUCUUGUUUUCUUAAUAGUCGUGGGAGCACUUGGGUGCACGCAAAGGACAACUUCACUUCCCGGAUCCCCAAUUAAAGAGGCCCCUGGACCCGGACCUGCGUGUGGGGGGCUGCACCCCACCCGGGCACUAGGGACCGGGGCGCAGGGUAGGGGGUGGUUUGCAAGUGAGUUCCGGGAGGCGGGAGAGGCCCAACAUGGUAUAAGUUUAACCACACUUUAAGUUCAUGGUCCUGAUACAAGCGCAACCACAGAGAAAGACUUAAAAGCGCUACUAUUAUCUGAUAUUGCAACAUGCGAAUGUCCAACUAUCAUUUACUAAGAAAAGUUAUAAAUUUCCUACUUGCCACAUUACGUCAAACAGUACACAUGGCUUUAACAUUCUUAGAUAAAUUGCCAACAUAAAGAACAGCGGUUAGGUAAUGUUAUUAACCGAUGUUACCUUGAUAAAUUUUUAACAGGAAAAAAAAAAAGGAAAGGGAAAAAAAAUAGUUCAGAAGUAACAUCUUUAAAAACUAUAGCUCAGAUCAAAUGGGAAAAGCUUAAGGUAAUAAAUAACUAUGCAUGCUAUCCUUCUAAAAAUGUAAACACCGUGCGAGCCAAAAGCCUAAAAAACUUAAAAAAAAAAAAAGGCUAGAAACCUAAAUGUCUUAUGACUGUGUACACUUGGAAACAUCCCACUAAUAUCUGUCUGCUGCGAGGGUUGCACAGGAAGCUGGUGACGGCCCACAUGUACCUCCCACUGCGGGGAGCGGGCCUCUGACACUCACGGUCACGCUGGGUGUUGACGGGGCUACGGCAGCUCCACUACGCACUUCGACCCAUUAAAAGAAAAUUAUCCCUUGUUCUAAUAACCUGAUUAAAUACAACCAAAUUUCUGCAGAGGUACGAAUGCCAGCUAUGUCCACAUGAAGCUCAAACUUUGAUGAACUCGAUCGGCAAAGUUUCCCUGAUUUUUACAUAAGCAGAGUGCUCGAAUGCAGCCAUUGAGCAAAAGUGCCAGCUCUUCUGACAUUUCAUAUCACUGCAGAAUAUUCCAUUCUACAGAAAUAUGUUUCCGCCACAGGAAAAAAAAAAAAAUCUAACCACUAUCCUGCCAAACCCCAAACAUUCUGUCUCUUAUUUAUAUAGAUCCUCUGUGAAAUUUAACCCUAUGUUCCAUGACUGACCACUGGUAUGAAUCUCACAAAUAAAUAAACUGAAAGUAAAUAGCUAAUCUUACAUGGACUUAAAUCUACUGUAAAACUUUACCAAAAGGUAAUUUCCCUUUACUUGUAUUCUAAAAUAUUCUGUUAAUUAUUGCACGUCAGCUUAGCCCUAAAAUUCCUUGAAGUCACAUGGAGUCUGACUUGUUAGUUUCUUUCUGCAUAUGUCCUUCCUAAAAGAAUACUUUUCCCAGGCAGUUAAAUUAGUCAUGUCCUUGUUUUAACGAAAUUACUACUAAAAACAUAUCAUUUCAGUCCAACUAAAAAUGCACACACUUGUGUUCUCAGCCAAGAUAACUAAUAACCAUCUAUUAAUAAUUUAGUCGGACAUUCGAUCCGUGAAUUCACGUCCACUAACCACUGGCCCGUGUGCUCGCAGGAAGGUGCUCGUAGGCCUGAUUUUAUAACGUGAAUCCUCCCUAACUCAUCGCCCCCGACCAGCUGUCCGGCACAAGAACGCCUGCUAGUCCGGUCGACAAGUUCAUGGCACCGUCGUUCACGACCAUGUGGGAGAACUGACCUCUGACUGCGAGUCUGAUUUGAUAGCCACCGCCCCAGUCCCCGAGAGGCCACGUUCACUCCCCAGAGAGCAGGACAAGCUGUGCCUGGUUCUCCAGCGGCGGAGGAAGCAGCCAUUGCCUGAAGGGAAUCCAACUGCCGCCAGUGGGGACCAGAGCCAGAAGCUUCAUACCCAUACCGCCCUUCCUGGUAGGCGAGCAAGACACCUAAAUUAUGUAAAGGACGCAAACAGGCCAAGGCCACGUCUCUCCUCAGAUUUUAACUCGCAAACGCGUCCUGGUAAACGUGUCGUUCUUGUCUGGAAAUUACACGUGCAUCGAUAUUUUCUUGAGGUCUCUGCCUUAAACAUUCUAAAACAAAUGACAGUUGAUAAAAUCAUUGGGACUCCUAAAGGUGAAAAGCCACGUGCCUACGUUUCCUGGACAAGGACGUUUAAACAAGCAGAUAGGAUGUGAAUGUGGGAAAAGGAGUCAGAAGCACCAGCAAUUGCAAUUUCAUGUGAUGUAGCCGAAGUCCUCAGUUCCCGGGGGGCGCGGUCGUGACGGCCACCAGAGCCCAGAAAGGCACCGUGGACACCGGACCUGCAGCACCGGGCGGGACGGGGGGCUCAGUGCUAGGGGUCGCCAUCCCACUUCUACCAUCAGAGUCCUUUAAAGGAUUCUGCAAAUAUUCUGGAUGCAGUUUUGCUGGCCUCUUCGAUAUUCUCUCCUUCAUGUCCAUUUAUAAGGUGACAGUGACCAAACGAUUCAGUCUCCUUAAAUAGGCUCACUGAACAGGCGACCCAAGCUGCCGAUUUCAAGGCAAUUCUGCUUCCAUUUCCCUAUGCCCUGAUGGGUCGAUGCCCAGGAACAGGAAGAGGGAUCCCCCACUUCUUCCCCUGGGGGGCGGGGGAGAUGUUUGCUCCAAGGGAAUUACAUAACCACCCCGAAGAGCAAAACAAAACAGCUCUCGUCACAGCCACUGGUCUUCGGCAUCUGACCCACUGCCCUGCCUCACUUUUUCCUGGCAUUAAAGGGAGAGUUUAAAACAAUAAAUAAAAAACAGCCAGUUUGAAAACCGCUUGCAGACUCCGGCAACGCAGCGCCUAAGGGCGCAGGGCAGAGUGAGUCACUGGAGCACGACAGCAAAGAGAAGAGAUUAGUUGUCCCCAGAGCCAGCGCCUGGUUCAAGACCAGCUGCUAGAGCGGACAGCGGGCCCUUCGGGAGGGAGCAGGUGCGGCCCGCCCGCCACCAUUCCAUUUGCGGGACUCAUGACACAAGCGCUCCAGGCCGGCGACAGAGCCGGGCCCAGGACUGCGCGCCACCCGCAGCGCCCAGGCCACGCGGCCUGCUUGGGUCGCGCGGCUCAAACUCGGGCUCCGCGUCCGGGGAACGCGCAGGGCUGUUUCUCGAGUCCGAGGGAUGUCACUCUUUCUGCGAGUAAAAUGGAGGUGGGGAGCCCAGGACACCCAGAGUCACUCCAGCUGCCCAGGACCGGACAAAAAUGCAGGGAAGAGUGGGCUUCGAAGACACCGAGCUCACGGCGGCGCUUCGUAACUGCAGAUUCCGACCCAGUGUGUGCGAGGUGGGCCCUGGAGCCCGCCCUUCUCACCAGCUCGCCGCCCCACCUUGCGUAGCGAGGUUCGGGGUCCGAACGGCCAGCUUCGGGCCUGGUCCUCUCACUGGCCUAACUCCCGAGAGCGAGUCACUUCUCCCUCUAGGCUUCAGUUUCCUCCUCUGCAAACAACUCUCAUUUCACUCCUGCCCUUAGAGGAAGAGCUUUCGGCCUCUCACCACUGAGAACGUUGGCUGCGGGCGCGUCGCAUACACCCUUCGUCAGAUCGAGACGUGACCGCACUCCCAGUGCUUCCCAGAGCAGCUGCACGCUUACUGCCUAAGGAAGAGUCACAUCAUGGCCGAGGGAGGAGCAGCUGCCAGAAAGGAUGGGCCCCCUCACCAGCCUCGGGAUCAUCUUGGGUGCUUCUCACCCGUGCUCAGCAGAAUCACACUUCCUUCCGGGGCCUUGCUAAAACGAAAGAGCAGGACGGAACAUCAGACCAGUGGCUGCCGCAGGGCUCCUGUGUUCAGGUUGGCGAUCCCAUUUUUUUUCUUUUGUUUUACUCAUCGAAAGAAAAACAGAGAUGAGAAGAGGCUUCUCAGCCAGCCGGGGCGCCAAGGCAAACAGGCAUAUGCCGAAAUCGUGCGCUGUGCUCCUUCCCACACUCGCAGGUUAAAAAUUCACCCGAAUAAACAAAUCUCCCCUGCA